rnacentral:lncRNA from 1 species
UUUUUUUUUUUUUGGCUGCACCAGCGACAUGCAAAAUUCCCAGUCCAGGGAAUGAACUUGUGUCACUGCAGGAAUGAGCGCUGCAGCAGUGACAAUGCCAGGUCCUUAGCGCACGGAGCCACCAGGGGAACUCUGACAGGAAUUCUUUAUUCUACAUUUGCAACUCUUCUGAAAGUCCAAAACUGUCUCCAAGAAGGUUUUUAAAGUAUUUACAGGAGUUCCCACUGUGGCUCAGUGGAAAUGAAUCCGACUGGUAUUCAUGAGGAUGUGGGUUCGAUCCCUGGCCUUGCUCAAUGGGUUAAGGAUCCGGCGUUCCAUGAGCUGGGGUGUAGGUCACAGAUCUGCGGCAACACCAAAUCCCUAACCCACUGAGGGAGGCCAGGGACUGAAACGCAUCUUCAUGGAGACUAGUCAGGUUCUUAACCCGCUGAGCCACAAUGGGAACUCCUCUAUCAAAUAUUUUAAGUCGAUCCCCUUUGAGAAGAUCAAACGUGGCCGGGAAGACGCUGUUGCCAUUUCCGAUCAUUUGAAAUGUACAGCCAACACACAAAGGUGACCCUGUUCUUUUGACUUUUGAAGGUAACUGUCAUGCAUCUUUGAUUUUGUGUUUGGUGCCCUUCAAAAGAUGUCCACAGAUGCCCAGGAAUGGACACGUUCCUGGUUAUUUUUGGCUUUUAUGCCCUACACCCCCUAACCUCUCGCCCUCCCCAUACAAGGUCCCUUUGCUCUGGAUUUAACUCCCGCAGGAACGGAAGUCAGCAUCUUAGCCCGGAUGUGUCCUCAGCUGCUCCCCAAAGGCUUUGGAGAGAGCGCCAGGCUUCACUGAUGCUUUGGGGGGGCAGAGGGGUUUCACAUCUCAGACACGCCCUCGCUCUGAGGUGACCAUGCCUACUCUGGCUCUUGAAAGAACGUCUUGCAGCUGCUCCUGGAGGGUCUCCACACCCUACUCCACAGCUUCUAGCUUCCCUCGCCCCUGUCUCCCAACCUCCUCCCCUCUUCUCUGCUCUGCUCGGCUGCCUGGGUACAUCCUACUCAUGGACAUUCUGUUUUCUCCUCUGUCCACAGGGAUGGGUGUUCAUGCAGAAAACAGAAGUCCUGACUCAGACUGGAUCACACAGAAAUAAAACGUGGUGACUCCCACCACCACCGGAAACCCCCAGGUGGGUGCUGCAGUGUCUCCCAACUCUGUGGAUGUUGCUUAAUUUCUCUGAUUCUCUUCCCUCUGCUCUCCCCUCCCCUGCACUGGCUUCCUCUCCAGCAGGCAGCAAAGGGGCUGCAGCAUGUGGGUGACGGACCACCUCCACUGAAAUGCAAGGGAAGGACUUCCUGCAGCCCUCCCAGAAAAAGAAAACUUUUACCAGCAGCUUUUAGAAAGAGACACGUACGUAUCAUCAGUGCGUGUUGUUAUUUUCCUAUUCUUUUUUGUUGCUGUUUUUUGUUUGGGGGGUUUUUUGGCUGCCAAUGGCAUGCAGAAGUUUCCCAGGCCAGGGAAAAAGCUUGUACUACAGCAAUGACAAUGCCAGAUCCUUCACCCGCUAGGCCACCAGGGAACUCCGCGCUUUCCUAUUCUGAAACCAAUCUCUGUGGGCCAGGAGAGUCCCAAAGCUUGAGAUGGCUGAGGUCCGGGUACCCAGGGACUGUGACACGUGUGAGUUAGAACAGGAGGUGGAGAAUCGAGACCCACAGACCAACCCCACCCCACUGCCUAGUUUGGCAAAGAAACUUGGUGAACACACAUUUUUUUUGGAAUAUAGCCAAACCCACAUGGCUCUCGCUUGCCAAGGACCAGCUUUGUACCACUGCAGAGUUAGUAGCGGCAAGAGAGACCAUAUGCCCCAGAGAGCCAAAAUCCUGGCUCUUUACAGGUCAAGUUUGCUGACCACUGGCUGAGACAGCCCUGGACUCAUCUCAGUGCUCCCCCACCAUCUGCCUGCUCUAUGGAUGUGACAGAGACACGACAGUCCCUGCCACCGUCCAAUCCCUAGGCUAAGCAACAUCACCAAGCAACGAGGCACUCUGUUAUGGCAGCCCUUCUCUUUUCCAUGGCUCAGAUUCACUUUCUUUUAUAAAAUCAUCACGUAGUAAGUCACUCUCGUUGCCUUACUGUCUUUCUCUGCAAAAUUAAAAGUGUGCAAGCCUCAGAGAGCCUCUCUAAUUUUCCUUUAUUAAAUUUCAGGAGGAAGUGAAAUCCUAAACUGUAAAGUUCCUCUCUCCCGGUGUGUCCCUGAUUUCUCACAGGAGCCCUGGACGUGAGUCCUCCCAAACCCCAGCAGCUUCUGCACUAAAAGCCAAAGGGGUUUCGUGCCAGCAAACGAGGUGGGUACGUUCUCACGAAUUUUCUGAUAAACACAGUCUCAGAAAGGCUGAACGAAAGGCAGCGUCCAUAGUCUGCAAAGUUCGAUCCUUCUCCAAGAAGGCUGUUAUGUCAUCAAUUCUCAUUGGUUAUGUUCCGUUCAUGAAAAUAAACAAUAAGCAACUUUAAGAACCGAUACAGUAACUGCUACUCUGAUCAGCAGGGACGGUCAAAAGGCUACAUACACACAAAAAAAAGGUGAUACUGACACUCUCACCGCCCUUAGUUUCAAAAGCAGUUCUAGAAUUUACCAUGUCAUCGACAUGACCCCUAAUUAUAUGAAAUGGAAAUAAUCUCCACCUAAGAAUCUAAUGGUAAAAUGACCGAUGAAAGAAGCAGCUACUCGCCAACAUGAGGUCAUCCUGGAAGCACACAAACCUUUUUUUUUUUUUUUUCUUCUUUGUAAAUA